UGUGAAAAGGACCAGGAACCUAGUGAAUG
rnacentral:piRNA from 1 species